rnacentral:misc_RNA from 1 species
UCACAAUGCCCUGAUCGGUCCACAAAAAGAACCAGUCUUUGAAGGCGAUGGGAGUCGGCACGUACGGCAGUUCGCGUUUCCGGUCGUACUCGAUGUGCGUUUCGGUGACGUCGCCGAGACCGGAGGCGUCGACCGCCCGCAAAUUCGAUCCGCGCCCCCCGCCCCCAUCGGAAGCAAUGACCAAACCUUUGCCGUAAACGGGGGAGGCGACGGUUCGCUGUGCGAAUUGACCGGUAUGCCAGAUCGUUUCGCCCGUGUACGGGUUCAACCCGGCGACGCCCGACGCACCGCUGAC